UCUCCGUUGGUGAACCAGCGGAGGGAUCAUUGCUGGAAGCGUCUCACGGCGCACCCAGAUACCCUUUGUGAACCUAUACCUAUCUGUUGCCUCGGCGCAGGCUGGGAGCUUCUGUAAACUCCCCCCCGCGGACUCACCUCUGCGCGGAGCAGGCCCGCCGGCGGCCCCAAACUCUGUCUCUGCAGCGAUGUAUCUCGAGUAUACAGAAAUGAGUCAAAACUUUCAACAACGGAUCUCUUGGUUCUGGCAUCGAUGAAGAACGCAGC
rnacentral:misc_RNA from 1 species